CUGCUCGAGUCUCAGGAAGUAGCGCUUGACUGGAUGGAAGUGUGUCUGUGGUUGUGUGUGUGUGUGUGGGGAGCAGUGUGUAUGUGACUGUGUGUGAGGGGGGGCAGGGAGGGGUUGGGGUUGUUGAAUAUAAUCAACCAGCGGCGCAAUCAGUUAGCGGAUAAGAACUCUCCUGGGAUGCAUUUCAGCCGAUCGAAGACGUCGUCGGAAAAUCGCUAAUGCUCAAACAGUCAGGCCUUCAUCAUGGGCUUGUUCCUCCCUCGUCCCCACGCCGCUACCCCCACAGCGGAGGCAGCCAACAGGGCCAGGACGCGGGGGAUGGACGAGGGGAACACGAGCACCAGGACACACAAAUCAUACGCCGCCACCAAACACUCAAUGGCCGUCUGGCUAAUUUGUGCUUGUUUUGUUGCAGUGCAUCUGCAGAAGGGGGCAGAUGGUGGAAUGGUGGGGAAGGAC
ensembl:lncRNA